GGCGAAAGUCUGCAGCUUCACUCCUAAAGCCAGCGAGACCACGAACCCACCAGGAGGAACGAACAAUUCCAGACGCGCCGCCUUAGGAGCUGUAACACUCACCGCGAAGGUCUGCAGCUUCACUCCUGAGCCGGCGAGACCACGAACCCCACCAGAAGGAAGAAACUCCGGACACGCCGCCUUUAAGAACUAUAACACUCACGGCGAGGGUGCACGGCUUCAUUCUUGAAGUCAGUGAAACCAAGAACCCACCAAUUCCGGACACAGCAGGAUCCCACCCACAGAACCCCCAGGUGCACAGCUGCAUAUCCUCAGGGGAAAACUCCCCUCCCCUGCCACCUUACUGAUAGUCUUCACUUCCCCGAGAACUUUCCCAAUCCUGUGCAAUGCCUGAGUGGUACAUUGUAUUCUAUGAGAAUGGCGCCCCGCCUCCAGAGUUGUGCAACAAGACUUCCAUGAAUCAAAGCCCAUCGCUGGCUGCCUCCUCUAGCCCUGCAUAGCCCAGGAGCUACAACCUCAGCCCAGAUUAGCAGGCUGAGGGGUCAGGAGGCUGUCACUGGAGCUGUUGAGCUCAUGAACACG
rnacentral:lncRNA from 1 species